CCUACGGGAGGCAGCAGUGGGGGAUAUUGCACAAUGGGGGAAACCCUGAUGCAGCGACGCCGCGUGAGUGAAGAAGGAUUUCGGGAUGUAAAGCUCUAUCAGCAGGGAAGAAAAAAGACGGUACCUGACUAAGAAGCCCCGGCUAACUACGUGCCAGCAGCCGCGGUAAUACGUAGGGGGCAAGCGUUAGCCGGAUUUACUGGGUGUAAAGGGAGCGCAGACGGUAAUACAAGUAGGAAGUGAAAUCCCCGGGCUCAACCUGGGAACUGCGUUGGAAACUGUAUGACUAGAGGGCUGGAGAGGUAAGCGGAAUUCCUAGUGUAGCAGUGAAAUGCGUAGAGAUUAGGAGGAACACCAGUGGCGAAGGCGGCUUACUGGACAAUAACUGACGUUGAGGCUCGAAAGCGUGGGGAGCAAACAGGAUUAGAUACCCCAGUAGUC
rnacentral:rRNA from 1 species